UACGAAGGGGGCUAGCGUUGCUCGGAAUUACUGGGCGUAAAGCGCACGUAGGCGGCUUUCUAAGUCGGGGGUGAAAUCCUGGAGCUCAACUCCAGAACUGCCUUCGAUACUGGAAAGCUCGAGUCCGGGAGAGGUGAGUGGAACUGCGAAUGUAGAGGUGAAAUUCGUAGAUAUUCGCAAGAACACCAGUGGCGAAGGCGGCUCACUGGCCCGGUACUGACGCUGAGGUGCGAAAGCGUGGGGAGCAAACAGG
rnacentral:rRNA from 1 species